CUAGUAAUUAAUAGCUUUGUCGGUUUCUAGAUCCUCUGUUUGCUCUGCUCUAUGAACACCAUUAGUAGAUCAUGUAAGUAUUUUAAACACUUGCCACAUGAUGGAACUAAAUUAAAUUUCACUUGUUUAUUUUUACAGUGGGGAAGCCUAAAGGACAGGGUGACUGUGCAAUAAGGAAAAAGAAAUAAUCUGACUUUUUGAGGAUUAUUGGACAUUAUCUCUGAAUUGACACUAGUUUCAGGAGAUCCAAAAAGCCAUUAUGAUCCACCAGGAGACACAACAAUGACUCCAUCGUACUGGAAGUUAAGACUGCCAUCCAGCCACUUUGGGCUCCUCAUACCUCUGAACCAGCAGGCAAAGAAGGGAGUUACACUGCUUGCCAGAAGAACUGAUCCUGAUUACUAAGGAGGAGUUGGACUGCUACUCCACAGUGGAGAACACUUGUCCUAGAAGCUCAGUCACCACGCUAUGAGGAAGCCCAGUCUAGAAGAAGAGAAACAGAGGCCCACGGGCCCUCAGACCCAGCUACUCUAUCAUGGGAUCCUUAGCACCAACUUGCCAGCCACAGGAGUAAGCCAUCUUGGAAAUUGAUCCCCUAGUCCUAAAUUGUGCUCCCCAACUGAUGUCACAGGGAGAAGACACAAGCCUUCUCUUUUUCAAGCCAUUGCCUUGAAAAAUCAAUCUCAAGAAGGAAGGUAAAAUUAGAAUUAAUGACCUACCUUUUCUCAAAUUGCAUAUUCAUGAGCAAAAUAAAUGAUUGUCAUUAACUGAAGCCACAAAAUUUGAGAGUUUGUAAUGCAGCAGUAAAUAACUGGAACAUUCGACCACCAAGCUACCUGAUGUCCCUGAGCCUUUGCUUCUCCGACUGUAAAACGAGGAUCACAUCAUGAGACUAGAAUCACGAAAUGUGGAAAUAUAUGUACUCUGGCACAGGUGCGUGAGAGAAUCCAGAUGGCCUCCACCAGGGGCCAGGAAGCCGACACCUUCUGCUGCGAUUCUGGCCACUCUCACAGGCUCGCUGGGUUUGGCUGCUUCAGUGCCUCCCUGGGGGACAGCCAAGGGGACAUGCAGGUGGUGCCGGAUGAGAAAGAGGGUUUCCAAGCAAUGGACUGCUGUGCUGCUGGAGAAUUGCCUCCCUUUCCACUACCGGGUUAUAAAACCACCAUCCAAAUUCUCUACGGCUUGUAAAAGUCCUGGAUACCUUUUAGAUGAGAGAGCAUAGGUGUUAUUUAACCUAUCUAACUCAGGUAAUUACCUCCCGCCACCUGAAAUUUCCCCUGCGUAUUCAAUCAGAUCUGGUAUCUGCUUUUGCUUUCCAGUCCUGUGUAGAGCUGCUGUGUGGCUAUUAAACAGCUGCUGAGCUCCACUCUACGAACACAAGAGUGUGUAUUCUUUAUUUAUGAGUUGGAUCUUCAGGUGAGGAUGUGAGAUGCUGGCGAGCCUCCACGUGGAUCCAGUUCUCGCGGGAUGUUUCCCUGGCGUAAUUAUAAACCAGGAAACCCUUGGCCCUUUUGAUGGCAAAGAGAGCCUUGGGAGAUGAUGCUGAUUGCUGCAGUUGGUCUCUCCCGGGGAAAGAGGCCCUAGGUUGCAAUGGAAUCUCUACCUGGUGGAAGGAAUCCUAGGGUUAAUUACUGUGCGAGUAGACCUACUAAGAAAAGCUCAAAGAACCACAUUCAAAGUGUUACCGAACCUGAACUCUUCCACCAACUUAUACUCCUUCUAGAACUCCCUUCAUGUUAUAGAAGAGGCUUAACCAUGGAACAAAUUUUGAAGAAUGCUGAAAAGCCCCACAUCCUCGAAUACCCACCUUCUCAUUCUCUUUUGGCACUCUGUUGGGUUAAGAUUCUACAUUUUCAGAAGGAAUUAUUAAAAUUGGAGUGUGUUGGGGCCCGCCACAUGGCUGAGUGGUAAAAGCUUCAUGAGCUCUGCUUUGGUGGCCCAGUUUGUGGUUCUGGAUCCCCCCGCAUGGAUCUGCUCCACUUGGCAGCCAUGCUGUGGAGACAUCCCACUUACAAAGUAGAGGAAGGUUCACAGAGAUGUUAGCUCAGGGUGAAUCUUCCUCGCCAAAAGAAAAAAAAAAUUGGAGAGUGUUAAUUCAGAAAAUUAAUCAUAGCUACAUUUGUUAUUCAGCAGUUUUUAAAUAUUUCCCUGUGACAAAUAUACCAAAGGAAAUUCUCGUAGAGCACAGACUCCCAGCGUGUGUCCAGCACUGUGCCCAAUUCUAAAAGUGCUACAUAGAGUUCCAGCCUCCUAUCGCAGCUAAAGAGCUUCAGUGGACAAGUGAAGGAGGGAGGCAUUGUUGUAGAAAUAUUAUUCAACACAUCUUAAUUUACAUAAAGAGAAAUAAUUUACUCAUGCUAGUUCCUCGACAAUUAAAGAAAGUAAAUGCCAAAGUGUCUGUUUGUAAAUCUAUAGUUACAGAGAGAAAUUCAACUUGCUCAUCCAGUA
rnacentral:lncRNA from 1 species